GGAGAGAAAAGAGGCGUGGACUGAAGUGACUUUGCUUAGCGGGACGAUAGUGAGUAACCAUUGCUUGGGCGCCUUGCUAGACUCCAAUAAUGAUUAUGUAGAUUAAAACAAUAAAAAGCAUUCACCGCUUACAACGCUCAGAAAUACCAUGUGGUGCAGAGCAGCCAGUGAAGAGAUAGAGGACAAAAAGAGCCAAGCCCCGUUAAAGAAGUUGCCUUCGUUCAUUAACCUCAGCAUUCACACCAUGCAAGCUCUCCAUUUACAAUUCCUGUUUGACAGUUUUGAGAAGGAUGAGUAUUGAGCUUCAGCACCUCGUGAAAAGCAACUUGACCUUGACACCUUUAUGCGGUAAUGUCAGAAAAAAAACCGGAGCUUUGAAUUCAUAUGGACUGGAAAAUAAAACCUAACAAAAGCAGCAGGCUCGCUCAGGCAGCUAACUCGCAUUGCACUACAUCGAAGCAUUAUUUUUAUGCUUUUUUGUGAGUAACGUAGAUAAAGAACAGCGAGCCACAUACUCUUGAAUUCAAUGACACAUAUCAAAGGUGUUGGUGGCCGGACCGACCGACUGACACACCUGCCUCGGACAAGUCAACUAACCCUGAUUCUCGCUCGCUGAACCCCAAUGAACCUGAACGCUACGAGAUGUGCACGCAGGCUUGUCAGAGAGGGAGGUCUCAAUGUAAUAUGUCUCUGCUGCUACUGGUGCUGUUACUACAACUGCUGCUACAACAACUACAAUAACUGUCACAACUACUACUACUGCUACUACUACCAACGUUGCCAGAUUGUCGUACUCAGCCGCUGAUAUCUCCCGACUUCCUACCCCAAAACUGUCUUCUGGGCUCCAAUAACGAAACUCAUUUAUAGUUAUCGUUAAAAGCGUUAGAUAUUAAUGUUUUUUUUGGCAAUAGUUAGGCGUCAGAAACCGGUAAAUACCAUGCUCUGAGUACGAUAAUCUGGCAACGGUGACUACUAUUACUACUACUACUACUACUACUACUACUACCACCACCGCCACUAAUACCAAGCAAGCCUCAUUCCACACAUAUUUUCCCACGAGUGUGAUUUGGAGGUUGAGGUUUCUCCGGUGGCGCGCGUGUUUCCGUCUGGCGCCUCGAGACUCGAACAUGGGGUGCAAAUCAGUCCCGUUGAGGCACGAUUAUUUCUGUCAUUAAAGCGUUCGCGCCUUGAUUGGCAACAGUUGCUGACUCUCCACAGCCGCGGGGAGUGUGUCGACGGUGUGUGUUUAGCCUCAAUAUCGAAGAAACGAGAGAUCGAGGUGAAUGACUCCGUUUAUGUGUGUGUGUGUGUGUGUGUGUGUGUGUGUGUGUGUGUGUGUGUCACGCUUGCAUCACCACAGCGUCGUCACCAUUGUUGCAACAGCUGCGCCAUCAUAGUUUUGUUACGGCAGUGAGUGUGAAAGAGGCUCGGAGACUUUUUCGUUCGGAGUGAUAUUAUCCUGCUAUUAAAAUGGAGAGAAAGACAAAUAAAUACAGCCAGAUACAGAUAGCUAGCUAGCCAGAUAGAUAGAUAGAUAGACAGAUAGAUAGAUACAUAGAUAGGCAGAUAGACAGAGACGAAAUAAUGUUCUACUAAAAUAUGUUUGUAGUAAUCAUUUUGUACAUCAAGAACUGAACUACUAGAAUGUUCUUAUUAGAUUUACAGUCGUUUGCAUACGAUAAUGUUCAGAUUUUGCGAUUUAACUUCUUUUGUGUGUGUCGAAAUGAAGGAAACACGAGACGAGGAGAGAAAAAUAGAAGAGGACAGUAAGAAAUAGAGAAAAGAUAGGAAAACAGAAGUUCCAAUAUAAUAAAGGAAAAAAAUGAAUUACCAAACAAAAAAAUGCUAAAGAAGGAAGCUGCGUGACUAAACCCUUUUACGUACAGACACACUUAUAGAGCCGAGUGUCACUAUAUUGCCACUAUAUUGUGUUUGGGUGGCUGUGUGCGUUUUUCUGGGUCUAUGUACGUUUUUAGCAACCUGUGUAUGAGUGUGUGUGUGUGUGUUUUUGUGUUUGAGUGCGACGCUGGAAAAAAAAAAACUGUGACUAUGCAAAUGCUCCUCAGGCCUGGCAAUUCGUACUCACUAACCGCGUGACUCCGCUAUGUUUUUUUGUUUUGUUUUUUUACAGCAAAGGAGACCGCACAAGGGCACACAAAAAAGGAAACAAUAAUAUAAAAAAGCCCGCUACUCGCUGCUCCUGUAAAGAAUCCGAAGAGGUGGCCGAAAGAGGCGUCAAUUAAGGGAGGGAGUUUGUUCGGCUAUUGAUCAGUGGCGGUAGAAAAAUAUUGGAAAGAAAAAGAGAAUCUACUUGUAUGCACCUAAUGAUAUAACUUUGCACUUAUAAAAUCGCUGCUCUUAAAACUGAAAUCACGUACGCUUUAAUUAAGGCAAGUUACUUUUUUUUCAUGUUAAAGAUGAAACAGAGUGAGACAGAAUAGAAUACUUUGUUGCAUGGACGAAGCGAAACACACACACACACACACACACUCCUUCACGGAUGCAUCCCAAAUUUUAUUACCCGGAAUGAAUUCUUAAAUUGCCUCGUAAAUAACCCCAGAGAGAGAGAGAGAGAGAGAGAGAGAGAGAGAGAGAGAGAGAGAGAGAGAGAGAGAGAGAGAGAGAGAGAGAGAGAGAGAACGAGCGAGCGAGAGAGAGAAAACGAGAGAGUGAGAUAGCGAGCGAGCGAGCCAGCGAGAGCAAGAGAGCAAGAGAGUCAGGCAGGAGACAGGCAGGCAGCAGACGACCCCCAAAUAACCUUGCCUAGGCGGGAUAGACCGUUAGCACGCCGCUCCCUGUGUGACUGACCCGCCAGGCAAGACCGGCCGGCGCAUGGAGUGGCUGCGGCGGCGCGUGGAGGGGGUGGAAGAGGAGCGUUAAGUGGUGGAAGAGGGGCAAGAAGAGGUGGAAGAGGAGCGAUAAGUGGUGGAAGAGGAGCGAUAAGUGGUGGAAGAGGAGCGAUUAGUGGUGGAAGAGGAGCGAUUAGUGGUGGAAGAGGAACUGGAAGAGGUGGAAGAGGAGCGAUAAGUGGUGGAAGAGGAGCGAUAAGUGGUGGAAGAGGAGCGAUAAGUGGUGGAAGAGGAGCGAUUAGUGGUGGAAGAGGAGCGAUAAGUGGUGGAAGAGGAGCUGGAAGUGGUGGAAGAGGAGCGGUAAGUGGUGGAACGGGAGCGAUAAGUGGUGGAAGAAGAGCUGGUAGAGGUGGAAGAGGAGCUGGAAGAGGUGGAAGAGGAGCAAGAAGAGGUGGAAGAGGAGCGAUAAGUGGUGGAAGAGGAGCGAUAAGUGGUGGAAGAGGAGCUGGUAGAGGUGGAAGAGGAGCAAGAAGAGGUGGAAGAGGAGCGAGAAAUGGAAGAAAGGGGUAAAAAAGUGGAAGAGGAGAAAAAAUUGUGUAGGUGGAGGAAAUAAAGGGGGAGCAAAACUGUAGGGGUAUUGAAGGUGGAAGAUAGGUGGGGGAGAAGUGGAGUGGUGGAGAGAGUGAAGGAGGAGCAAGAAGUGUAAAGGUGGAAGAGGAGGAGGAGGAGGAGGGUGGAGAAGUGGGGUGAAGGAGGAAGGGGAGAAGUAGCAAGAAUGUGGAGGUGAACGAGGGACGAGAACUGUGGAGCUGGUGGUGGUGGAGGUUGUGAGGGUAUGAAGGAGGGGAGAGGGGAGACGCGAAAGGGUGGAGGUGGUGGAUAGAGUACGAAGUAGGGAGGAGGAGGAGAAAUAGGGGAGGAGGAGGAGGAAGAGAAGGAGGAGGAGGAGGAAGAGAAGGAGGAGGAGGAGGAAGAGAAGGAGGAGGAGGAAAGGAGAGGCAGGGGCUGAGGCAAUGGGUCUAUAUUAUGUUGAGAUGGGAGGGAAAAAUCGCAAGGGAGGCUGGACAGGAACGGUGCGGGAAGAGGAGGAGGAGGAGGAGGAAAAGGA